rnacentral:rRNA from 1 species
GACGAACGCUGGCGGCGUGCUUAACACAUGCAAGUCGAACGGAAAGGCCCUGCUUUUGUUGCUUGCUCGAGUGGCGAACGGGUGAGUAAUACGUGAGUAACCUUCCCUUUACUUUGGGAUAACUUCAGGAAACUGGGGUUCAGACCGGAUAGGCGCUCCUGCUGCAUGGUGGUGGUUGGCAUGUUUCGGCGGUUGUGGAUGGACUCCCGGUUUAUCAGCUUGUUGGUGGGGUAGUGGCUUACCAAGGCUUUGACGGGCAGCCGGCCUGGGCGGGUGACCGGCAAAAUUGGGACUGAGAUCCGGCCAGGCCUCCUACGGGAGGCAGCAGUGGGGAAUAUUGAACAAGGGGCGGAGGCCUGAUGAGCCAACGCGGCGUGCGGGAUGCCGGCUUUCGGGUGGAAACCGGUUUUAGCAGGUGACGAGGCGGGAGUGACGGUAAUGGGUAAAGAAGCACCGGCUAACUACGUG